rnacentral:rRNA from 1 species
UACGUAGGUGGCAAGCGUUGUCCGGAUUUAUUGGGCGUAGAGCGCGCGCAGGUGGUGCGGUAAGUCUGCCGUGAAAUCUCCCGGCUCAACUGGGAGGGGGCGGUGGAGACUGCCGGACUGGAGGGACCUAGAGGCCGGUGGAAUUCCCGGUGGAGUGGUGAAAUGCGUAGAGAUCGGGAGGAACACCAGUGGCGAAGGCGGCCGGCUGGGGGUGCCCUGACGCUGAGGCGCGAAAGCGUGGGGAGCGAACCGG